GGAACCUGCGGAGGGAUCAUUAUAGAGUUAAUAACAACUCCAAACCCAUGUGAACGUACCUCUCGUUGCCUCGGCAGGUCGUGUCUCCCGUGUAGUCCCUAACGGGAGCACCUACCCGGUAGACACGGGUAAGCCUGUCGGUGGCCCACGAAAACUCUGUUUUAAUAUUGUAAUUCUGAAUACUAUAACUAAAUAAGUUAAAACUUUCAACAACGGAUCUCUUGGUUCUGGCAUCGAUGAAGAACGCAGCGAAAUGCGAUAAGUAAUGUGAAUUGCAGAAUUCAGUGAAUCAUCGAAUCUUUGAACGCACAUUGCGCCCACUAGUAUUCUAGUGGGCAUGCCUGUUCGAGCGUCAUUUCAACCCUUAAGCCCCUGUUGCUUAGCGUUGGGAGCCUACAGCCCUGCUGUAGCUCCUCAAAGUUAGUGGCGGAGUUAGUUCAGACUCUAAGCGUAGUAGAUUAUUUUUAUCUCGCUUCUGCAGUUGUCCUGUCUCCCGCCGUAAAACACACUAUAUAUCAAAGGUSACCUCGGAUCAGGAGGA
rnacentral:rRNA from 1 species